UCUUUUCUUUUUUCUUCUUUCUUCUUUCUCUUUCCUUCUUCCUCUGUUCUUCUUUUCUCUGCGUGCGAUUGAGAAUCGGUUCGAGAAAAUUAAUUGAUGAGGGAGAUGGUGAGGUUGUGAACUAGGAUAUAAAACAACUAAGGGAGUGUUGGGUUUUUGUCUGUGGUGACAAUCAAAGAGAAGCAGAGUUAGGGUUCUUAGAUUUGAUUAUGAUUCUGAAGAUCUAGAAGAUGAAUAUGGAGCUACGGUUAGAUCAAUAACAAUGGGUAGAUGUUUAAUUGGAGUUUUGAAGUCGAUUCAGUUGUGAAUCAUCGAUGAGAACUGGAUUAGGGUUUCAGGGGAAUUACAUAAGAGAAUGGGAAGAUGAAAUUGAUACCCAAGAGGAUUGAUUGAAGAUGGGUUUUACCUGAGUUAAAGUUUGGGUUUGAAGAAUAGAUCAGAAUCAGUAAUUAGGGUUUGAUUAGAUUUUAAUGAAGGUUGUUGGAUGUUGGCUGUGGUGAACUGACAGAUAAAGGAGGAGAUUGUAAUGUUUUGUUUGAGUGAAAUCUUCUUAAGGUAAUUGUUUCUCAGUUAAUUAGUGAAAUUAUUCAUUGUUGAUUCUAUAUGAUGAUUUAUGAGAUGAUGAGUUCCAGAGGGGUUUAAUUAGAUUGAAGUUGAAAUUGAUUAUAUGGGUUUCUAGUAACUGUGUUGUUGUAAUUUGAUGAUAAUUGAAGUUGAUCGAAUUCUGGGAAUGAAAUUGAGAAAUUGAGAAGCUGGUGAGGUAUUUAUAUUGUUGAGUCUGUGGGUUUGAUCAUGAAUUAUGAUUUGAGAUAGAUAUGGUGGUUUAUUAUUGAGUGUUAGUUGGAUGUUAUUGUUGAAUUUUGUUGAUUGAAGUUCUUUUGAAUGUUUUUUUGUGAAGUAGUGGUGUUGUUAUGAAGUGAUUUUGUUGUGGAGGUAAUGGUGAAGCUGUACAGGAUAUGGUCGGUGGUGAUAACUGUUGCUGCUGGGUUUAAAAUUGAGUGUACAUAAUUGCCGGAGUUGGUAGUGUUGAACUGAGCUUGGUGUUUUCUGAGUAGUUUUUAUUGCAGAUCUGAAGUUGUAGAUUAUGUGUGUUUGGUUAAGCUCAGAGUCUGGAGAUGGAGGUAAAGUAAAUGUAAUGGAUUGGUUGUGAUUGUGUUAGCAGAUUCAAAUUAUGUUUAACAAGAUAAUGGUAUUUGGGAAAUGUAGAAGAUGUUGGUGGAGAUGUAAUUGUAAUUGAGUUGGUGUUCAAUUGUAGUUGCAGAUUAGAAGUAAUAGUAACUGGAGGUGGUGUUGUUUGUGAAGAUGUAGUGAAAUGGGGUUGAAUAGAGCUGAACUAGUAACAAGGAUUGGAAAUGAGUAGUAUGAAUUGAAUUCAAAAUUGGGAGCUUAGAAAGAACUCUAGGAAAUUGUGUGGUGGUUGUGUUCUGCUGGUUUUCUUGAGUUGAGAAGAUUGUACUGCAGCUACUGCUUUUGCAGUUAGUCUAUAUUAACAACGAUCGAUUCAAAGGAUGAACCAGUGGAUCGUGGAUCUUGAGGUAGGCAUGGCUUGUCAGCAAAAUAAGUUUCAGAGACAGAUCAAGUUGCGCAGCGGAAGCUUCGAAGAGUUGAUUUCAUUAGUUGGAUAACUUCUACUAUGUUUAGUAUAUUGCAUAUUGUAUCUGUAAACCUAAUGACUAUUGUAUAUAUAUAUCAUUUGAGAGGACUUCUUGUAUAUAUAUGUUUCAGAGCGAGUUAGUUUUGGGUUAAGUUUUGUAGCAGAUUUCUUAGUUGAAUGAUUAAGUAUAUGAUUUAGAUUU